CAGCUUUUCUCCUUUUCUCAGAGUUCUGGCUUUGGAAACGGGGCCCCCGGUCGGACCAUUUGGCCUUGUGUCUGGGCUGAUGCUGAGCAGCCACCCUCCUGGUUCUCUGAUACCGAGGGUCUCUUCCCAAAGCCACCUCUGGUCCCAAUGCGAGUGCUGUAUUUUCUGCCUCAGUGCAGCCUGCAGCAUAUUCAGCAUUUCAGGCCGAAAUCCAGUGGUGUUAACAAGAGGGAUCUUUUAAAGUUAAAUUAGAAUUCACAGGACCCAAUAAUUGAUGGCUAGAAAGAGCCUCGAAUUUAUUUGUGCACUCACAGGCUGCUCUUACCUUGUAGCCUCUGUCCGGCUGUGGAGGUCACGUCUGGGCCGGGUGAUGUACUCCAUGGCAAACUGUCUGCUCCUGAUGAAGGAUUAUGUGCUGGCCGUGGAGGCGUAUCAUUCGGUUAUCAAGUAUUACCCAGAGCAAGAGCCCCAGCUGCUCAGCGGCAUCGGCCGGAUUUCCCUGCAGAUUGGAGACAUAAAAACAGCUGAAAAGUAUUUUCAAGACGUUGAGAAAGUGACACAGAAAUUAGAUGGACUACAGGGUAAAAUCAUGGUUUUGAUGAACAGCGCGUUCCUUCACCUCGGGCAGAAUAACUUCGCAGAAGCCCACAGGUUCUUCACAGAGAUCUUAAGGAUGG
rnacentral:sRNA from 1 species